rnacentral:rRNA from 1 species
GACGAACGCUGGCGGCGUGCUUAACACAUGCAAGUCGAACGGAAGGGCCCUGCUUUUGUGGGGUGCUCGAGUGGCGAGCGGGUGAGUAACACGUGAGUAUCCUGCCCUGGACUUUGGGAUAACUUCAGGCAACUGGGGCUAAUACCGGAUAGGAGCGCCUGCUGGAGGGUGGGGGUUGGACAGUUUCGGCGGUUGGGGAUGGACUCGCGGCUUAUCAGCUUGUUGGUGGGGGAGUGGCUUACCAAGGCUUUGACGGGUAGCCGGCCUGAGAGGGUGACCGGCAACAUUAGGACUAAGAUACGCCCCAGACGCCUACGGGGGGCAGAAGGCGGGAGUAUUGCCCAAUGGGCGGGCGCCUGAUGCAGAAGCGCCGCGUGCGUGAUGACGGCCUUGGGGUUGUAAACCGCUUUCGCCUGUGACGAAGCGGGAGUGACGGUACUGGGUAAAGAAGCACCGGCUAACUACGUG